CGAGCCGUGUGUCAGUAUGGGAUAGUUAGGGGAGCUUCUGAGGAGCGGUUAGGCAGAGAUCUGAAGGUGGAGAAGGAACCCAUGAAGGACAUUUGGAAGAAAGAGAACAUGGAUGCAAUGAUGAUCACAGUUUCCUUGUUUGGCACACGAAGGGACUCGGUAAGGCACACCGAGAACUUGAAAAGGCAACUCUCUGACAGUGAAAACUACAUCGGCAUUACAAAAAUAGGAGGAACAAGACAUCACGAUCUCCUCUGGC